rnacentral:rRNA from 1 species
UACGUAGGGGGCAAGCGUUAUCCGGAUUUACUGGGUGUAAAGGGCGAGUAGGCGGACUUGCAAGUCAGAUGUGAAAUCCCGGGGCUUAACCCCGGAACUGCAUUUGAAACUGUAGGUCUUGAGUGAUGGAGAGGCAGGCGGAAUUCCCGGUGUAGCGGUGGAAUGCGUAGAUAUCGGGAGGAACACCAGUGGCGAAGGCGGCCUGCUGGACAUUAACUGACGCUGAGGAGCGAAAGCGUGGGGAGCAAACAGG